UAGCAUAUCAAUAAGCGGAGGAAAAGAAACUAACGAGGAUUCCCCUAGUAACUGCGAGUGAAGCGGGAAAAGCUCAAAUUUGAAAUCUGGCGGUCUUUGGCUGUCCGAGUUGUAAUCUAGAGAAGUGUUACCCGCGUUGGACCGUGUAUAAGUCUCCUGGAAUGGAGCGUCAUAGAGGGUGAGAAUCCCGUCUUUGACACGGACUACCAAGGCUUUGUGGUAUGCUCUCAAAGAGUCGAGUUGUUUGGGAAUGCAGCUCAAAAUGGGUGGUAAAUGCCAUCUAAAGCUAAAUAUUGGCGAGAGACCGAUAGCGAACAAGUACCGUGAGGGAAAGAUGAAAAGAACUUUGGAAAGAGAGUUAAACAGUACGUGAAAUUGCUGAAAGGGAAACGCUUAAAGUCAGUCGCGUUGGCUUGAAAUCAACCUUGCUUUUGCUGGGUGUACUUUCUAGUUGACGGGUCAACAUCAGUUUUGACCAGUGGAUAAAGUCAAUGGGAAUGUGGCUCCUUCGGGAGUGUUAUAGCCCAUAGUCGCAUACAUUGGUUGGGACUGAGGCUCUCAGCACGCCUUUAUGGCCUGGUUUCGACCAAGUUCGUGCUUAGGAUGUUGGCAUAAUGGCUUUAAUCGACCCGUCUUGAAACACGGACCAAGGAGUCUAACAUGCUUGCGAGUAUUUGGGUGGAAAACCCUUGUGCGUAAUGAAAGUGAAAGUUGAGAUCCCUGUCGUGGGGAGCAUCGACGCCUGGACCAGAGCUUUUGUGACGGAUCCACGGUAGAGCACGUAUGUUGGGACCCGAAAGAUGGUGAACUAUGCCUGAAUAGGGUGAAGCCAGAGGAAACUCUGGUGGAGGCUCGUAGCGAUUCUGACGUGCAAAUCGAUCGUCAAAUUUGGUGUAUAGGGGCGAA
rnacentral:rRNA from 1 species